rnacentral:rRNA from 1 species
AACGAACGCUGGCGGCAGGCUUAACACAUGCAAGUCGAACGCCCCGCAAGGGGAGUGGCAGACGGGUGAGUAACGCGUGGGAACAUACCCUUUUCUACGGAAUAGCUCUGGGAAACUGGAAUUAAUACCGUAUACGCCCUACGGGGGAAAGAUUUAUCGGGGAAGGAUUGGCCCGCGUUGGAUUAGCUAGUUGGUGGGGUAAAGGCCUACCAAGGCGACGAUCCAUAGCUGGUCUGAGAGGAUGAUCAGCCACAUUGGGACUGAGACACGGCCCAAACUCCUACGGGAGGCAGCAGUGGGGAAUAUUGGACAAUGGGCGCAAGCCUGAUCCAGCCAUGCCGCGUGAGUGAUGAAGGCCUUAGGGUUGUAAAGCUCUUUCACUGAUGAAGAUAAUGACGGUAGUCGGAGAAGAAGCCCCGGCUAACUUCGUG